rnacentral:lncRNA from 1 species
AUUCCUAUGCCCUGAAUGGUAUUGCCUAGGUUUUCUUUAGCUUUCUGUGGCAGAGUCCAGGUUUUUUAUGGCCUCAGAAUGGGGGAGUGUGUGCUGAUUGGUCCAUGGGCAGGCCUGAACAAAAGCACCAUUUGAUUGGCUAAAAGGCACUGAGAAAGUUCUCACUCUGGUCAUGAACUCCACCCAGAACUGGCCGCUCAGUUUUCAGGUUUUAAACUGCCGUUGACUUGAAGGUUGAGUUUCACUGGGGACCUACCUCUAUCUGCCUAGUAAUCUGUGUCUCCUGUAGCUAUCAUCAUCACUGAUUUUCUACGUACAGAUUUCAAUUCCAAACAAAAAUAUAUGAGAACGUUCAUUUCUCCAUACAACUGGCUGGGUCAUUGGCCUUAUCCCGCACCGAAGUUGAAACUUACACCAUCUGUUCACAUCAUCAGUUCUUCUGGUUCUCAUGCUUUUGAACUUCAACUGGCACAAUUCCACUGGCUCUCCUUAGUCUCCAGGUUGCAGAUGGCAGAUUAUAAAUCUCCUUAGCCUCCACCUUUAUAAUCCUAACUAUUACUGACACCUCUUUGAGGACAAAGGAAGUAGCUUUCUGCAAGCCAAAAAGACCUCAGAAAAACAACAAAUCUUCCAAACUCUUGAUUUUGACUUUUUGCCUCCAGAAUUGUGAAGAAAUAAAUAUCUGUUAUUUAAGUAGGCUAGUGUCUGGUAUUAUGUUAUGGCAGCCCUAGUAAACUAAUAUAGGUGUUCAUAACCAUAGGAAUAAACAAAGGAGCCAGACCUGGGUAGCACACAAACGACUUGAAAGAACGUGGAGUGAGUAGUAAGUGACUUUCCCAGGCCAUAGUAGGGCCCUUCUUCUCUUUCAAUCAUAUAAUUAGUUUUUCAGGCAUUGUUAGCGAGCUACAUGAAUAAGUAGACCCAGCAGACAUUCAUUCUUGAGACUGUAUUCCCCCAAAAGACUGAAUAUAUGGGCAGCAAACCUCAAUGAAGAGAAUAUUGAAAUAAGGCUACUCCUAUCUGUUCCACACAUCACACAUAUUGUGUUGGUUUCUAUUGCUCACCAAUUAGUUAAAACUUCAUGGACUAAGAUAAU